GCGGGCCGGGACCUUUGCCCCCAGGCAGGACAAAGUGGCCUCAGCUCUCCCUCCUGUCUCCUCCAACAGGCUGAGAAGUUCACCUGUGUCUGCUACAGCUUCUCUGUGGGGCAGACUGCGGUCCAGUGGCAUGGGAUUGUGAUUGGACUGGUUGUGCUGUUGGCAGUCCUCCUUGUGGCUGCAGUCAUCCUCUGGUUUGUGCUCUCCAAGAAAAAGAAGUAUUUGCCCAACAAAACUAAGGAGGAUAAUUAAAAAGGUAAAGGUGGCUAGGCUGGAGAUCAGUCUAUCCAGGACCAUGGAGACAUCCAGAGCACUGAGGAUAUGGAGAAAAUGGGAAGGAUGACCCCACCCCAGUGCUGAUGACUGCUAUGUACCCUGGCUCUCCUGUGACUGACCAGCAUAGAGGUCCCAUGCAAUUCAUCCAAUUCAGCAGGGCAAGAGGAAAACAGAAGGCCAAGGAGGGUUGAGCUUUUUCAUUCCUCACCUCCUAGGUUUUGCUUACUGCUUUGUAAGGCCUUUGAAACUGGCUUUCUGUAAUCCUUUUUUUCCAGGCUUUGCUUUCAUUUUUGCUUUCCUGGAAGCAUAAUUUGUAUGCCAGAUUUCCCAGUCCCAGACUCACACAGGCUCAGGCUGAUGGCAUUUGCUGUCCUCUGGGUUCCCAACCCUUCUGCCCUUUCUGUUGAUAUUCAGCCAACAAAGCCAAGGGUUUUGCUAGGCCUGGCUGAAUGCUUUGUGGCCCUGCCUAUUCUGUCUGGACAACAAAUAAAGGCUUGUGGUUUGGAGGGGCUGCCUGUCCCACACAA